GGCGCACGGGUGAGUAACGCGUAGAUAACCUGUCUUCAUGUCUGGAAUAAUAACGGCCAAAGGGGUACUAAUACCGGAUAUUCUUGCUUUUCAUAAGUUAUGCAAGCAAAGGUGGCCUCUGCAUAUGCUACUGCAUGAAGAGGGGUCUGCGUACCAUUAGCUAGUAGGUGGGGUAAUGGCCUACCUAGGCGACGAUGGUUAGCGGGUCUGAGAGGAUGAUCCGCCACACUGGCACUGGAACACGGGCCAGACUCCUACGGGAGGCAGCAGUGAGGAAUAUUGCGCAAUGGGGGAAACCCUGACGCAGCGACGCCGCGUGAGUGAGGAAAAGGCCUUCGGGUCGUAAAGCUCUGUCAAGAGGAAAGAAGUGUACAAUGGCUAAUACCUGUUGUAUUUGACGGUACCUCUAAAGGAAGCACCGGCUAACUCCGUGCCAGCAGCUGC
rnacentral:rRNA from 1 species